rnacentral:rRNA from 1 species
AUCACUAAAGAGAACUUGCCCUUCGGGGUAGAUCUCCCACCCUUUGUUUAUCACACUUUGUUGCUUUGGCGGGCCUGCCUCACGGCUGCCGGCGUAAGCUGGCUCGCGCCCGCCAGAGACCCCCAAACUCUGAAUAUUGUCGUCUGAGUAAUAUAUAAUAAGUUAAAACUUUCAACAACGGAUCUCUUGGUUCUGGCAUCGAUGAAGAACGCAGCGAAAUGCGAUAAGUAAUGUGAAUUGCAGAAUUCAGUGAAUCAUCGAAUCUUUGAACGCACAUUGCGCCCUCUGGUAUUCCGGGGGGCAUGCCUGUUCGAGCGUCAUUACAACCCUCAAGCUCUGCUUGGUAUUGGGCGUCACCACCUGGUGCGCCUCAAAAACAGUGGCGGUGCCGUCUGGCUUCAAGCGUAGUAAUUUUUCUCGCUCCGGAGUCCAGGCGAGUGCUCGCCAGAACCCCCAAUUUAUCAAAGGUUGACCUCGGAUCAGGUAGGGAUACCCGCUGAACUUAAGCAUAUCAAUAAGCGGAGGAAAAGAAACCAACAGGGAUUGCCUCAGUAACGGCGAGUGAAGCGGCAAAAGCUCAAAUUUGAAAUCUGGCCUCACGGUCCGAGUUGUAAUUUGUAGAGGAUGCUUCGAACGUGGUCCGGUCUAAGUUCCUUGGAACAGGACGUCAUAGAGGGUGAGAAUCCCGUAUGUGCCCGGGUGCCAUUGUUCAUGUGAAGCUCCUUCGACGAGUCGAGUUGUUUGGGAAUGCAGCUCAAAAUGGGUGGUAAAUUUCAUCUAAAGCUAAAUACUGGCCAGAGACCGAUAGCGCACAAGUAGAGUGAUCGAAAGAUGAAAAGCACUUUGGAAAGAGAGUUAAACAGUACGUGAAAUUGUUGAAAGGGAAGCGCUUGCAAUCAGACUUGCAUGCAGUCGAUCAUCCGAUGUUCUCACCGGUGCACUCGAUUGUAUUCAGGCCAGCAUCGGUUUUGGUGGUUGGAUAAAGGCCUCAGGAACGUGGCUCCUCUCGGGGAGUGUUAUAGCCUGAGGUGCAAUGCAGCCUACUGGGACCGAGGACCGCGCUUCGGCUAGGAUGCUGGCGUAAUGGUUGUAAGCGACCCGUCUUGAAACACGGACCAAGGAGUCUAACAUCGAUGCGAGUGUUUGGGUGUAAAACCCAUACGCGUAAUGAAAGUGAACGGAGGUGAGAACCCUUAAGGGUGCAUCAUCGACCGGUCCUGAAGUCUUCGGAUGGAUCUGAGUAAGAGCAUAGCUGUUGGGACCCGAAAGAUGGUGAACUAUGCCUGAAUAGGGUGAAGCCAGAGGAAACUCUGGUGGAGGCUCGCAGCGGUUCUGACGUGCAAAUCGAUCGUCAAA